GAUGAACGCUGGCGGCGUGCCUAAUACAUGCAAGUCGAGCGAACUGAUUAGAAGCUUGCUUCUAUGACGUUAGCGGCGGACGGGUGAGUAACACGUGGGCAACCUGCCUGUAAGACUGGGAUAACUUCGGGAAACCGAAGCUAAUACCGGAUAGGAUCUUCUCCUUCAUGGGAGAUGAUUGAAAGAUGGUUUCGGCUAUCACUUACAGAUGGGCCCGCGGUGCAUUAGCUAGUUGGUGAGGUAACGGCUCACCAAGGCAACGAAGCAUAGCCGAACUGAGAGAGUGAUCGGCCACACUGGGACUGAGACACGACCCAGACUCCUACGGGAGGCAGCAGUAGGGAAUCUUCCGCAAUGGACGAAAGUCUGACGGAGCAACGCCGCGUGAGUGAUGAAGGCUUUCGGGUCGUAAAACUCUGUUGUUAGGGAAGAACAAGUACGAGAGUAACUGCUCGUACCUUGACGGUACCUAACCAGAAAGCCACGGCUAACUACGUGCCAGCCGCCGCGGUAAUAC
rnacentral:rRNA from 1 species